GUUCCUCACGAACCCCAAGUAGUUUCAUUUGGAUUUAGAUCUUGUUAAUAAAGAAUAACUGAAGCUUGUUAUAAUCUCAAUUUUACUCCAUUUUAUUUCCAUAUUUUUUCCAAAAAUCCCCUCCUUUCUAGCCAAGCCAUUUGCCUCACUAUCUUCUUAAGGGUGGCAAUAUCUUACAAGUUAUUUAGCUCACAGUAUCAGAAAGAAAAAACUUCAAAAGGACUAAUUAAAAAAUGACAAAAAAAAAACCCAAAAAGAUUAAAUUCAGAGAACUGGCUCUAAAAACUACUUUUUCUUGCAUUUUAAGCGUCUUCACUGGGAGAGUGUUUAUUGUUCUUGCUGUGUGUGCUUCUCUGCAGCUAUCUACACACAGAAGCCCGGUUACAGUUUUCAAGUCAAGUUUGAUUCAAGGAGAGGUUUGUUGAGUGACCUGGGAAAGAAGAACCAGGUGAGAAAAGAGGAAGGUAGUGCUGGGUUAGAAGGUCUGGUGGUUACAGAUCUGAGCAUUGGUUCUUUCUCUACAGACCUUGUCUGGGUCCUGAGGAACCAUGCACGUGUGUUCGAGCACACACAUACACAUAAACACACACACACACACACACACACACACACACACGCUCACAUGCUCACAUGCACACAGCAGACACAUUCAAAGACCACUUUAUCUUGAGCAAUCCAAACCUUUGCAUUCAUCUUAACAGAAAGAGAAACAACUUCAUGGCCACAGGCACUUCUGUUCAGCCUAAGGUGUGGAGCACACUUAGAGAGGGCUAGCUGGGACUGGAGUUUAAAAGUCCAAUAAUUGUGGAUUAAUGGUACCUCAGUGGUAGUUCCAAUAUGCCAGUUAAUGCAUAAUGUUGCCCUGCAUGAGACCUGAUCAAAAAGCUUUAUAGCUGUUCAACUCCUAUGGUUUGAGAAGGAAAACAUGGGGCCAGAAGGCUUCCAAUGGAGGGGCCAUGUGGACAGGCCAAGUGACUGGGGCAGGAUCUUGUUAGGAAAUGAGGCACCCUGUCUUCAGAAUACUCCACAUUCCAGAGAGACCUGUGAUUUAGAAGUGAUGUUUAAGGUGACUGUGAACUGACAAAGGGGCCAGCAGGCAAUAAAUGCGUAAAGCAAAGCAGUCCUUUCUCUUUCUUCUCCAUGUUUGAAAACCUUCCCAUUAAAAGAAGACAAUAAGCAACCGCCAGCAAGCAUGGGUCUGCCUCAUUAGGAAGAAAGAAAACUGUCUGAAAGAAACCUC
rnacentral:lncRNA from 1 species